AAGCGUAUUCCAUUUUUGCUGGAAGGAAUUUGAUGGAAAGCUCAAGGAAAAAGCUAAGGAUUAAAGAAAAAGAAUAAGAAAAGAGAAAGUGGAGAACCUAACCAAAUUCUAUCUUGAAGAUUAAUAGGUGAGCAAACUAAGCAACAAGGAUACAGAAAGUCUUGAAGUCUACCCGUGUCAGCCUUUGAAGAGCUUCCGAAAUGGAACAAGUUAGGCUCGAGUAAAGCCAAGAAAAUCAGCCCCUUAGCUUUGUCAAAGUUUGGUAUUUUGUUGAGUCUUAAAUGUAUAUGUGUGUGAGAUAUAUAAGAUUUGUACAUGUAUAUAAAUUAUUAUUGUAUCAUGUAGGGAUAAACUCAAUGGACAUUAUUAUUUUUGUUUUGCUU